UUGUUUAGUGAGCAAUUAUAAUUUUAUGGUACUAAUUGGAAUUAUUAGUUUAAUAGUAAAAAUUUGGUUUGUACCUUUUGUAUCAGGGUAACUUAAAAUAUCAAGUUAUUAUAGAUUUCUCGAGUGUAUGCGAUAGCUAAGUUUGUUUAAUAAGUUGAAUUUUUAUAUUAAUAGAAUUAGUAGUGAAAUGUUUUCGGUUAUACUGCUAGCUAGUUUAUUAGUCUAAGUUUAAUUACUUAUACUAUAAGUAUAUCUUGUAAUGGGGUAAUCUCUUUACUAUUGAUAAAUUUACAUUUGGUUUAGGGAAUUAGGCUUUGGAUUUGCCAUAUUAAUAUAUUUUUGUAAAUAACCUAUGAGAGUUAAUUUUAAUGGUUUCUCACACAGGCUAAUAUAUUUUUUAUACUUGGAAUAAUUUAUUAAUAAUGAGUUUAUUAGUACUAAUAGGAAUUAUAUAGAAGGAACUCGGUAAUUUUUUGAAAGUUUAGCAAAAACAUUUUUUUGAGGUUAAGUCAGGAUAUGGCCUGCCCAGUGAGUUAUUCAACGGCUGCGGUAUUUUGACCGUGCUAAGGUAGCAUAAUCAUUUGUUCUUUAAUUGAGUUCUGGUAUGAAUGGUUUAACAAAAAUGAGUAUCUUUGUUUAUAACAGGAAAUUGUAUUUCUAGUGAUAAUACUGGAUUGAUAUUAAGGGACGAUAAGACCCUAAAAGCUUUAUUUUAUGUGCAAAGUUAGUUUUAGUGUAUUGAUAGGAUUCUUUGUUGGUAAGUUAGCUGGGGUAGCUGUUCUAGGUAAAUUAGAGUGUUAUAUUAUACUUAAUGAAGGGUUUAUGGUCCUGUUUAUACGGAUAAUUAGAGUUAGUUACUUUAGGGAUAACAGCGCAAUAUUUUUGGGGAGAUCAUAUCUAUAUAGGUGAUUGCGACCUCGAUGUUGAAUUAAAAGUUCCCCGUGGGGCAGAGAAUACGGUGGAUGGUUUGUUCAACCAUUAAAUUUUUACAUGAUUUGAGUUCAAAUCGGUUUAAGCCAGAUUGGUUUCUAUCUUUUAUUAAAUAAUAAUUCUUUUUAGUACGAAAGG
rnacentral:rRNA from 1 species